ACAAGAAGCAGCAGUUUUGCCUUAGCUAGUCCUUACUCUGAGUACAGCGAGCACGCCUCCGGGACGUAGGAGCUGCAGACAGCGCUCGUAGUAGGCGGUACAGUUCUCUUUGUCCGCGUCCACCACGGCUAUGUCGAAGGUUCCGGCCUCGCCCGCCGCUAGGAGCUCAUCUUAACAGGGACAGAGGGCAUGUGCCGCUGGCUGAGCUAGGGUCUCAGCGGGCUGCUCAGGGUCGCCAGUUUUGUUCCCCGGGGUUGGACAGUGCUGUCUGGGUCCCUCCCGCACUGGUGCUCACCCAAUGUCUGCAGGGCGGGCUGCAGCCGAAGGUCGAUCUUCUGCUCCACUUCUGCCUGCGGAAGGAGGCCGGUCAGGCCGGCACGCCCCCGAGCCGGAGCCCGAACGGCCGCAGGUGUGGGGCUCUCACCUGCUUCCACAUGGGCCGUCCCAGCUUCGGGGGCUCUGCGUCAACCUCGCAGGUCACCACGCGGCCAGCCUCCGGAAGCGCCAAGGCUAGGGCCAGGGCCGAGUAGCCCGUGAAAGUACCUGUGGAAGGGGACACUGUCAAGCUCAGUUCAGGGUGCAGGGCUGCCCUGUGACCCUGGUUUCCAGAGACCAUGGCUGCGUGUUCCUACCCAGAUCCAGAGCUUUCUUGGCCUUAAUGAGCCGCGCCAGGUUGGCCAGAAGCUGGGCCUGUUCACAGGUCAUCAUGGAAUCCCCCUGCGGCUGCUCCAGGGUCAGCUGUGUGGGGAGAGGGAGGUGCCAUUCAUACCAGUCACCCCCCCCACCUCCCCCCUGAGGUUUUGAAUCAUUCAGGGGCUCGGUGGCGGGUGUGGCCUAGAGGGGACAGGUCUCAGGGAACCCGGAAGCCCAGAGAGGGUUUCUGCCUAGCUCAAGGUCACACAGCCACGUGAGGUCCACCACGCUGGAAGUGGGGAGCCGGUUCUCGGUCCCAGUCCUACUGACCAGUCGCAGGCUCCGCAGCGCCGGGUGCUCUCUCAUGGAGCGGCUCAGCAGAUACUGCCACAGGGGAUUGUCCUCAGGUGGCAGCAGGCGCUCUUGCCGCCUGGACCCCCAUGGAGGCCACCGUUUCCCUGCCGGGGAGAGGGUGCCGAGUCAGGGCCUGCAUUUCUGACCGGGUUCUCCGGCUCUUCUCCGCGCCCUCCUCCCAUUCCCCGGACUGCAGCAGCCCAGCCCAGCUCACCCAGCAAGAGACCAGUAGCGAAGGCGGCGCCCAGCGCGGCCGAGCCCAGGGCCAGUGCGGCUGGGAUAGAUAGCCGAGGGACGGGCUGAGCCAUGGUGCAGGUUAGCAGCGGCGGCGGAGGUCACGUGUGCUGGAGUAGCGAGGAUGGGACUGGGACCAGUAAGCCGACAGGGCUCCACCUUGUCCGGGCCCUGCCCACAGAGCCGCGUCCUCGGGCACCAUCUGGUGACACAUGGCCGUAUUGCAAGGUCAGGCUGAGAACAUCUCGCCACCCGGUGGCUGCAUGCGGAACUGCGUCGGGUGAAAUCCUUUCUAGACUUCGCUCACAGGAGACUCUGCUGACCUGCCCUCAGGGACCUAGCAAUUGCUUAAGGCAUCACCUGCCCCGCCCCCCACGUACGACAGGUAAGGCCCGAAGAAAUGUGAGUUCCUUUAGGGCUGAGCACACAGCAGGCACUAAAUACGUGCUGGCGGGGCCACACUGCGGCCAGUGAUAACAACGGGGCCACACUGCGGCCAGUGAUAACAACGUGACAACCGGAAGCUGUUACUUAGCACCUGCUGGGUACCAGGUGCUCAACACCCAGCCAUCCCUUGAAGCAGCGGUGUUGUUCCAAUUUUCAAGAGAAGGAAAGUCCUGAAUUGAUCAUCUCUCCGAGCUCACUGCCUAGCGCCUUGCCCUCCUAAAUUUCCACCGUCUUUAUCAGUACCUCCCUGGGACGCACACAGAGGGAAGAGGCAGCCGUGUCCCCGCUAGGCCUCUUCAGCGGGCUUGUGGCACCGAGUCCUUGUCCUUAGCCGGAGCCCUCUUCCCCAUAUCUGGGGACCGGGAUGGCUUGCAAGUUCUCAGUGCAUCUCACAGCCUUCCUCCUGCAACCUGGCUCCAGGCAGGAGCGGUGGAGGUGGGGGAAGCGGGCGAGGAGGGAGCCAUGUCACCAUAUAUCCCAGUCAGAUUAAAAAACUAAUUUG
rnacentral:lncRNA from 1 species